rnacentral:rRNA from 1 species
UACGUAGGGGGCAAGCGUUGUCCGGAUUUAUUGGGCGUAAAGAGCGUGUAGGCGGUUUGGUAGGUCCGCUGUGAAAACUCGAGGCUCAACCUCGAGACGCCGGUGGAAACCAUCAGACUAGAGUCCGGAAGAGGAGAGUGGAAUUCCUGGUGUAGCGGUGAAAUACGCAGAUAUCAGGAAGAACACCCGUGGCUAAGGCGGCUCUCUAGUACGGUACUGACGCUGAGACGCGAAAGCGUGGGGAGCGAACAGG